rnacentral:rRNA from 1 species
GUGGGUAGUUUGACUGGGGCGGUCUCCUCCCAAAGCGUAACGGAGGAGCACGAAGGUUAGCUAAUCCUGGUCGGACAUCAGGAGGUUAGUGCAAUGGCAUAAGCUAGCUUGACUGCGAGCGUGACGGCGCGAGCAGGUGCGAAAGCAGGUCAUAGUGAUCCGGUGGUUCUGAAUGGAAGGGCCAUCGCUCAACGGAUAAAAGGUACUCCGGGGAUAACAGGCUGAUACCGCCCAAGAGUUCAUAUCGACGGCGGUGUUUGGCACCUCGAUGUCGGCUCAUCACAUCCUGGGGCUGAAGUAGGUCCCAAGGGUAUGGCUGUUCGCCAUUUAAAGUGGUACGCGAGCUGGGUUUAGAACGUCGUGAGACAGUUCGGUCCCUAUCUGCCGUGGGCGCUGGAGAAUUGAGGGGGGCUGCUCCUAGUACGAGAG